rnacentral:lncRNA from 1 species
UAUCCUGAGUGAAUAAAGUAAAAUAGAGGAGACCACCUUAGAAACUAAAUAUUUACUAAUCGCGCCUUAAAGUGAACAUUUGAAAUCUUUGGAAGUUUAUAGUACUUAAUCUUAGAGAGACGGAAUCAACUGUUGAGUGUAACCAAUCUUAGUAAGAUCCUUGCUCGACUUGAUUACUGAAAGAUCCCAAUAAGUCUUAAUAUUAAGGAAUUCCAGACAUAAAGACUUUAAGAGAAC